rnacentral:rRNA from 1 species
GGGGAAUCUUGGACAAUGGGCGAAAGCCUGAUCCAGCGACGCCGCGUGGAGGAAGAAGUCCUUCGGGAUGUAAACUUCUGAACUAGCCGAAUAAAAGGCCUGUGGACACACAGGAGAAGAAAGUAGGCUAGGAAAAGUCCCGGCUAACUACGUGCCAGCAGCCGCGGUAAGACGUAGGGGGCAAGCGUUACCCGGAAUUACUGGGCGUAAAGGGGGCGUAGGCGGUAAAAGAAGUCAUCUGUGAAAACCUAUUGCUCAACGAUAGGCUAGCGGAUGAAACUGAAUUACUUGAGGGCACCAGAGGUAGACGGAAUUACCCGAGUAGGGGUGAAAUCCGCAGAUACGGGUAGGAACGCCGGUGGAGAAGUCGGUCUACUGGGGUGCACCAGACGCUGAGGCCCGAAAGCUAGGGGAGCAAACC